UGAUACUUCGUGCCUCAUUUUGGAAUAGCAUUUUUUUUGCCAGAAUGCAAGGGGCUGGCUGCUUCUGUUCAUCACUUUUACAAGCAGGUGUUUCCCAACUUCUUGCUGCAGCCAUUGGCUUUAAAGACAUGACAAUUUUGCAGUUCAAGAAGAAAAUUACUCUCCAUGGAAAUGAAAGCUUCUGUGUUGGACAUUUUUACUGUAAAUUCAGUUGGUUAUUGAGACUCCAAUUACUUAUGGAAAAUCCAGAGCUCAAGCCUGUAAGAAGAGAUCCACAGUGUCUUUCCCUUUUGGCAGGAAUACACCAUGAUCCAGCUGCAGACAAAUGCUACAAUCUGGAAGGAAAACUCUUCAGAGUAGAUCAGGAAAAAGCAGCAGUUGUGCCCCUAUAG
rnacentral:lncRNA from 1 species